CAGAAUUCUACGUGCUACAACCAGAAUAACAGACAUUUGACGAACAUAACGCACCAGUGGAAUCAUGUCAGGCCUGGUCAUUGGAUUUCGCCCCAAGAGGAUUCACUACUCAGUGAAGAUUAUAAUUUUGAUUGCGGAGCUAAAUCAAGACGACAUGGAAUCAUUGGUUUAGUGGCGAAAAAGAAGGUUACUCGACUUGACGAUGAGAUCCCCAAGGCAGACUCCCGUUUAAUUAAGUAAUUGGGCCCCCAAUUGGAGAGGAUUAGUCUGUUUGCAACUGAUGAUGAGCAGUACACAUGGCGAGUUUAGCAAAGCGUAGUGCACGUAUGUAGAGUCCCAAAAUCUUUAAUCGGAAUUAUUAUUAUUGCUCUAAUGACUUGUUCGAGUAUGAUUUCCUGUGCAAACAGGUGCAUGAGUUUUCUUAAUGUAAAUAAUGACUUUGAGUAAGACG